rnacentral:rRNA from 1 species
GAGAGAAACUUGGGCCUAAUACUGGAUAGGACCAUCCUUUAGUGUGUGAUGGUGGAAAGUUUUUUCGGUUGGGGAUGAGCUCGCGGCCUAUCACUUGUUGGUGGGGUAAUGGCCUACCAAGGCGUCAACGGGUAGCCGGCCUGAGAGGGUGUACGGCCACAUUGGGACUGAGACACGGCCCAAACUCCUACGGGAGGCAGCAGUGGGGAAUAUUGCACAAUGGGCGGAAGCCUGAUGCACCGACCCCCCGUGAGGGAUGACGGCCUUCGGGUUGUAAACCUCUUUCAACAGGGACAAAGCUUUUGUGACGGUACCUGUAUAAAAAGCACCGGCUAACUACGUGCCACCAGCCGCGGUAAUACGUAGGGUGCGAGCGUUGUCCGGAAUUACUGGGCGUAAAGAGCUCGUAGGUGGUUUGUCGCGUCGUCUGUGAAAUUCCGGGGCUUAACUCCGGGCGUGCAGGCGAUACGGGCAUAACUUGAGUGCUGUAGGGGAGACUGGAAUUCCUGGUGUAGCGGUGAAAUGCGCAGAUAUCAGGAGGAACACCGAUGGCGAAGGCAGGUCUCUGGGCAGUAACUGACGCUGAGGAGCGAAAGCAUGGGGAGCGAACAGGAUUAGAUACCCUGGUAGUCCAUGCCGUAAACGGUGGGCGCUAGGUGUAGGGGACUUCCACGUCUUCUGUGCCGUACCUAACGCAUUAAGCGCCCCCGCCUGGGGAGUACGGCCGCAAGGCUAAAAACUCAAGGAAUUGACGGGGGCCGCGCCACAAGCCGGCGGAGCAUGUGGAUUAAUUCGAUGCACUGCGAAGAACCUUAACUUGGGCCUUGGACAUAUACAGAUCGCUGCGAGAUGUAGUUUCCCUUGUGUCUGUAUACAGUGUGCAUGUUGUCGUCAGCUCGUGUCGUGAAUGUGGGUAGUCCCGCACGACGCCACCAUGCUCUAUGUGCUAGCCACCUAUGUUGGACUCAUGAAAACUGCUGGGCUUACUCGAGACGUGAGA